GAAGAUGGAGUUGGUAGAGCGUGAGACUUUUGAUCUUAGGGUUGUGGGUUCAAAUCCCGUGUUGAACA